CAGCUCGGUCCAGCGACGCUGCAGGAAUCCUCCAGUGUAGACCGGUGUCACGACACUCCGCCCAGCGCCGCGGAGUCGGUGGAUUCUCCGUGACUCCGACUCCGACUCUGGACAGCCUCCUUAGCCCUCGCCGUCCAAGGAAGGUAUGGGUUCGGGCGAACCGUCUCAUGUAUCGAAGCGUCUGCACAACAACCUGCUAGACCACGGGAUCUCCACAAGCUAGACGGGCGCGCUGACGCGCGAGUUGGUCGCGGUGGACGGGACGACCGUGUACCGUGUCCUCCAUCACAUCUGUCUGCAGACCCCUGUCGAGUGGUGGAGUGCUGGUGUGGCGCCGGGUAGAGUCGGAGAGGGGCCUUCAGCCGCUGCCCUGCCAGACGGUGAUCCCGCCACAAGGCCAAGCUAGCAAAGAUGGCAGCACCAUCAAGCACAUGGUGGGCCCCGGCUGACAGCUCGGUCCAGCGACGCUGCAGGAAUCCUCCAGUGUAGACCGGUGUCACGACACUCCGCCCAGCGCCGCGGAGUCGGUGGAUUCUCCGUGACUCCGACUCCGACUCUGGACACCCUCCUUAGCC